UCGAGAAUCUUCCGCAAUGGACGAAAGUCUGACGGAGCGACGCCGCGUGGAGGACGAAGGCCCUCGGGUUGUAAACUCCUGUCACGAGUUAAGAAGGCUAUAUGACGAAUAGUUGUGUAGUUUGACAAAGGCUCGAGAGGAAGCACUGGCUAACUCUGUGCCAGCAGCCGCGGUAAUACAGAGAGUGCGAACGUUGUUCGGAAUUACUGGGCUUAAAGCGCGCGUAGGCGGCGUAACAAGUGUCGGGUGAAAGCCCACGGCUCACCCGUGGAACUGCCCGGCAAACUGUUAUGCUAGAGUGUGGUAGGGGAGAGCGGAACUCAUGGUGGAGCGGUGAAAUGCGUAGAUAUCAUGAGGAACACCGGUGGCGAAGGCGGCUCUCUGGUCCACAACUGACGCUGAGGUGCGAAAGCUAGGGUAGCGAACGGGAUUAGAUACCCCCGUAGUCC
rnacentral:rRNA from 1 species